rnacentral:rRNA from 1 species
GUCCAGACUCCUACGGGAGGCAGCAGUGGGGAAUAUUGCACAAUGGGGGGAACCCUGAUGCAGCGACGCCGCGUGGGUGAAGGAGCACCUCGGUGCGUAAAGCCCUAUCGGCAGGGAAGAAGCAAGACGGUACCUGACUAAGAAGCCCCGGCUAACUACGUGCCAGCAGCCGCGGUAAUACGUAGGGGGCGAGCGUUAUCCGGAUUCACUGGGUGUAAAGGGAGCGUAGACGGCCAAGCAAGCCAGGGGUGAAAGCCCGGGGCCCAACCCCGGGACUGCCCUUGGAACUGCUUGGCUGGAGUGCGGGAGGGGCAGGCGGAAUUCCUGGUGUAGCGGUGAAAUGCGUAGAUAUCAGGAGGAACACCGGCGGCGAAGGCGGCCUGCUGGACCGCGACUGACGUUGAGGCCCGAAAGCGUGGGGAGCAAACAGGAUUAGAUACCCGGGUA